AUGGCCAGCUGCGUUCCCUGUCCGUUUCUUUCCAGCAAACACUGUUUGCCCGAGUCAGGCUGGUGAGGACACAGAAGAGGGACCUGUUCUGCGUCUCAGGCAUUUCACAACUGUGGCGAUGCUGUGGCAGCUCUUACGUGGUUCUGUGGGUUCUGCUGGGUUCUGCUUCGGUGUGAAGCUCUGCAGAUGUGCAGAGGGGAUCAGCUCUGGUUUCUGAUCAAGCAGGAAAUCCCACGUUCUCACUUAAAAAUGAAACUGGAAGACAGCACAACUUUAUAGCCAUGCUCCUAUGGCCAGACACGGGACAAAAAGAUUUGUAACAGAAAAAUAUGUGGUGAAAUGACAUUUCCUGUGUGUUUUUGGCUAACCAGUCAGAAAAGUUCCCAUGAGUGAGAGAGGGUUCCUAAGAAACACGCUCCUGUAUUUAUUGUAAAGUCUUCACGGAUCUCUAAGUUUCACAAACAGGAGACGAAACCACGGCUACGAAGAAGAACUUGGAAAUCCCAGACCACGAUGAAGACGCAGUCCUACAGUCCCACAGGAUGACGUGUCCAAGCUUACAGUGUCAUUGCUUGUCUCAAGGAGCGUCAGGAGUUAAUGACGGGAACUUUUUGGUUUUAAUAAAAGAAAGCUCCCCGGUGCCUGCUCUGCAGCAAGAGUGACCUUCGUGACGGCAGCGUCUCCACAGUGCUGGACCAUGUGGAGACCUGGGAUCCCAUGUCAUGGAGGAGCUCCUGCCAGAGGGAGGCUGGUCAGGGCCAACACAGGCUCAAGCCAACGGCACCCAUCACGGGGACUUUGAGAAGACGAGCCGCUGCACAGUUUAAUUCUGAGCAGGGAGUUUCCUUUCAGCCUGUGAUAAAAAUGCACCUGAGCUCUUUUCAAAAUGACGGUGAAAUUUCCAUGAGAAAAGUAAGAGUGUCCUUGCCGAGGUUGCUCUUACUUUUUGUCUAUGU